rnacentral:tRNA from 1 species
CCUUCGAUAGCUCAGCUGGUAGAGCGGAGGACUGUAGGUGUGUUGUAGCAAUCCUUAGGUCGCUGGUUCAAUUCCGGCUCGAAGGA